GUUCAGCAACGUGCUUGAGUUUGCCCUUUCCUUUGCGAAUUGUUGUUCUUCUUGGAGGAAAUUUUGCUUACUGUUGUAUGUAACAUGGUCUGUGUGGUGCCACACUGGAAUGGACAAUCAGCGUUCAGUCUAUAGGAACUUUGUUAUUGAUUUUCUUGUGUUUCAUAUUAAUACCAAAAUAUAUGAGACUAUCAGCAAGUAGCUCAAUUGAGCUUUGUUUAUGUAUAGACCUACAGACCAAUACAUUUUAGUUUUCCUAGAUGUAGCAAUUAAUACAAUUGAAAGUCAGACAUUUUGUUAUCCAUUUGAAACAUAAAAAAAUAUAAAUUCUAUAAAUUAUGUAGUUUAUGAUAUAUAUAUAAUUUAUGGAGUUCAAAUAUGUAGUUUAUGAAAUAUUUAUGGAGUUUAUAAUGCCUAGUUG
rnacentral:misc_RNA from 1 species